AGUGAACGCUGGCGGCAGGCCUAACACAUGCAAGUCGAGCGGCAGCGCGGGGGCAACCCUGGCGGCGAGCGGCGGACGGGUGAGGAAUUCGUCGGAAUCUGCCUUUUUGUGGGGGAUAACGUAGGGAACUUACGCUAAUACCGCAUACGUCCUACGGGAGAAAGUGGGGGACCGCAAGGCCUCACGCAGAAAGAUGAGCCGACGACCGAUUAGCUAGUUGGUGGGGUAAAGGCCCACCAAGGCGACGAUCGGUAGCUGGUCUGAGAGGAUGAUCAGCCACACUGGGACUGAGACACGGCCCAGACUCCUACGGGAGGCAGCAGUGGGGAAUAUUGGACAAUGGGCGCAAGCCUGAUCCAGCCAUGCCGCGUGUGUGAAGAAGGCCUUCGGGUUGUAAAGCACUUUUGUCCGGAAAGAAAUCCCUGGAGCUAAUACCUUCGGGGGAUGACGGUACCGGAAGAAUAAGCACCGGCUAACUUCGUG
rnacentral:rRNA from 1 species